AGAAGUUAAGAUUCAUUCUCAAGGUGUCAUGCUAAGUGAGUGGCAGAGAAAAACUGAGGUCCAGGUUGGAGCGUUGAAAGUGAUUCUUUCAUUUGGCCAACAUCUUAGUUUCCUCUAGAAGUAGAAUCUCCUGAGAAAUAUGAGAGAAAGAUAGAGAACCUCUGUCUACAUUCCAACUGGACCAGAAUCCUUAGGAGAGAAUAAUGUGGUAUAUUGGUAUCCUCAAGCUUCAGCAAUAUUAUAUAGCACUAGACCAAACUGCACAUGGGUGGUACCCUUCAUGGAUGCAAGUGAAGUCAGACUUGUCCACCAAAUUCAUCUGCUGCCAGUCUUUCCCUCACUGUUUGAGAGUUUCUCCCUGCCAUUGACACUGUGCUCUCCUCUGCUCCUCUUUCACACCCUUCCCCUGCCAUCACUGUUAUGUCCCUGAAGGGGAUAUAUGGUGUAAUUUAGAGAGCUCUGGCAAGAG